rnacentral:rRNA from 1 species
UGGGGGAAUCUUCCGCAAUGGGCGAAAGCCUGACGGAGCAACGCCGCGUGAGUGAUGACGGCCUUCGGGUUGUAAAGCUCUGUGAUCGGGGACGAACGGUCAGCAGACGAAUACUCUGCUGAAGUGACGGUACCCGAAUAGCAAGCCACGGCUAACUACGUGCCAGCAGCCGCGGUAAUACGUAGGUGGCAAGCGUUGUCCGGAAUUAUUGGGCGUAAAGCGCGCGCAGGCGGCUUCUUAAGUCCAUCUUAAAAGUGCGGGGCUUAACCCCGUGAUGGGAUGGAAACUGAGAGGCUGGAGUAUCGGAGAGGAAAGUGGAAUUCCUAGUGUAGCGGUGAAAUGCGUAG